UAGAAAUUUUUUCCAUAAGAUCCAAAUCCUACACAAUUCCUUUACAAAUCCUAUGAAUCAAAGGAGCCCUUACUCCUCCAUUGUGUUGCAGUUCCGCCAGACUCUUCGAGUCGCAAGAGCCCUCCUCAUGAAGAGUCGCCUAUUCAUCCACUUCCCGGUCCACCACCUAAAAAGGGUAAUGCUGUAACAGAGAGUUCACAGAACCCGGAGCAGCCUGUUCUUUUUCCAUGCACCGUCGACGAAGAUCCUAAACACCCAGCUCCGCUGGAACGUUCAAGUAAUAGGUGCGCUGAUCAUGAAGAGCUAGUUCUUCGCCCGACUCCUGGGUAUCCAUGUGGUGCUGCUGAAAGUAAUGUAGCCGACAAGCCUUUGCUGUACACCAUCGACAAAGGUCCUAAAUACCGAACUCCUGAUGAUGGUCCAUGCAUGACGAUUCCUGAUCCUAGGGGUACACCCAAAGAAGGUGUUAAACACCCACUUCCUGAUCCACCACCACGUAGGCCGUAGCAAACCUAUCAGUUCAAAGUCAAAAGGCCCUGCUCUUCCAGAAGAAUACUGUAUCGCGUACGAAAAAUAAUAACUGCGCAGUUUUCCCUUACUUCUCCCCAUGUUGUACACUAUACAUUCUUACUUAAUGUUGUUGAGAUGAAUAUAUUCUUCUUU